CAGUAGCCACGGGAAUACAGAGGAUGCAAGCGUUAUCCGGAAUGAUUGGGCGUAAAGGGCUCGCAGGCGGUUUCUUAAGUCUGAUGUGAAAGCCCCCGGCUCAACCGGGGAGGGUCAUUGGAAACUGGGAAACUUGAGUGCAGAAGAGGAGAGUGGAAUUCCACGUGUAGCGGUGAAAUGCGUAGAGAUGUGGAGGAACACCAGUGGCGAAGGCGACUCUCUGGUCUGUAACUGACGCUGAGGAGCGAAAGCGUGGGGAGCGAACAGGAUUAGAUACCCCAGUAGUCCCUGUCUCUUAUAU
rnacentral:rRNA from 1 species